GUAGGCUGCAACUCGCCUACAUGAAGUCGGAAUUGCUAGUAAUCGCGGAUCAGCAUGCUACGGUGAAUACGUUCCCGGGCCUUGUACACACCGCCCGUCAAACCAUGAGAGUUGGCAACACCCGAAGCCUGUAGCUUAACCGCAAGGACGGCGCAGUCGAAGGUGGGGUCGAUGAUUAGGGUUAAGUCGUAACAAGGUAAC
rnacentral:rRNA from 1 species